rnacentral:rRNA from 1 species
CCCUUAGAUGUUCUGGGCAGCACGCGCGCUACAAUGGUCUUCGCAAACGGAUGCAUUCUCGAAGGAGAAUGCCAAUCUUGGAAUCUAUGCCUUGGUCGGGACAGUUGCUUGCAAUUUUUCGACUCGAACCAGGAAUUCCUUGUAAUCGUGAUUCAUCACAUCACGAUGAAUACGUCCCUGCCCUUUGUACACACCGCCCGUCGCUCCUACCGAUCGAAGAGUUAGGUGAAUUGUUUUGAUCGAUAAGAUUUGACUAUGGUCAACUCUCGGUGUGAAAUUCUGUGAAUCUGACUGUUUAGAGGAAGGAAAAGUCGUAACA